UCAACUUCACCACAUAAUCAACACAACACAACAAAAACACAUUGGUCCCGUUCUACUUUCGUUGCAUUCUGUUUCCCUUUGUUAUUGUUAAACAUUAUAUCAUCCUCACCUCUGUCAAUAUUUAUUUCACCUCGGUCAAUAUUUAUUUUAGAGUUAGAAAAAAUAGUGCAACCUGAAACUUGUAUUAUAAUCCAACACAACAAACCCCAAAUGUGUAUUGGUCCGAGACAAAUGAGAAUUCAUAAACUGUACUACCAAAUAAGAGAUAUUUACAGGACACGCAUAAAACACAAGACAACUAAACAAGGUUUUCUUUGUUUCUAA